rnacentral:rRNA from 1 species
CAGCCAUGCCGCGUGAGUGAUGAAGGCCUUAGGGUCGUAAAGCUCUUUCGCCUGUGAUGAUAAUGACAGUAGCAGGUAAAGAAACCCCGGCUAACUCCGUGCCAGCAGCCGCGGUAAUACGGAGGGGGUUAGCGUUGUUCGGAAUUACUGGGCGUAAAGCGCGCGUAGGCGGAUUAGUCAGUUAGAGGUGAAAUCCCAGGGCUCAACCCUGGAACUGCCUUUAAUACUGCUAGUCUUGAGUUCGAGAGAGGUGAGUGGAAUUCCGAGUGUAGAGGUGAAAUUCGUAGAUAUUCGGAGGAACACCAGUGGCGAAGGCGGCUCACUGGCUCGAUACUGACGCUGAGGUGCGAAAGUGUGGGGAGCAAACAGGAUUAGAUACCCUGGUAGUCCACACCGUAAACGAUGAAUGCCAGUCGUCGGCAAGCAUGCUUGUCGGUGA